rnacentral:misc_RNA from 1 species
AACUUUUAGCAAUGGAUCUCUUGGUUCCGGCAUCGAUGAAGAACGCAGCGAAAUGCGAUACGUAAUGUGAAUUGCAGAAUUCAGUGAAUCAUCGAGUCUUUGAACGCACAUUGCGCCCUCUGGUAUUCCGGAGGGCAUGCCUGUCCGAGCGUCAUUGCUGCCCUCAAGCACGGCUUGUGUGUUGGGCUCCGUCCCCCGAUCCCGGGGGGACGGGCCCGAAAGGCAGCGGCGGCACCGCGUCCGGUCCUCGAGCGUAUGGGGCUUUGUCACCCGCUCUGUAGGCCCGGCCGGCGCCUGCCGUUCAACCAAAUUUUUAUCCAGGUUGACCUCGGAUCAGGUAGGGAUACCCGCUGAACUUAAGCAUAUCAAUAAGCGGAGGCU